CCCUCCCUCCUUCCCAAAACCCUUGGCAGAGGGUGGCCUCCUCUGACAGAAGAGGAGAGUGACUGCUGCCCAUUCUUCGUGUAUGCAAACAGCAUCCCUUUUGCCUAUGGAGGGACUCCAGGUGUGUGUCUCUGAGUCAAAGUUCCUCGAGGGCGGGACUGUGUUUUUUCGAUUAUAUAGCAGCAAGGACACUGAUAAAACUCAGUGAACAAGUGUGGCAAAGGUGGUGAGGACAAAUGUUAUGAAUUGUUGAUGUACAAAUAUUUCUCUCUGAAAAGGCCUUAUCCAAAAGGCCCUAUAAGGUCUUUCAAUACAGUACAGUAACCACUUCUUGGUUGUUAAGAUGAUUGUUGGUUCAACAUGUAGUUGGGUUGAGAUUCACACAGAAGCCAGCGCCAGGCCCAGUGGCUGUAAGUGAGCUGGUCAGUUGCUAUUAUUAUUUAUAUUGCCUUAGCACCAAGGAGCUGGACUCCAUUGCAGGGGGGCUGUACAAACACAGAACAUAGGGUAAGUCUGGACUACAGCUGGGAGUGAGCGUCCUAGCAUGGGCAGACAGACUGUGGUAUCAGGGCUUGGGCUAGAAAUAGCAGGGUGGACUUUAUGUCUCUGGUGGAGAUUCAGGCUAGCUCAGACCCAGGGGAUGGACAAGCUGUAGAGCCCAAGCUGCUGCCCGGGCCACACUGCUAAUUUUAGUGCACUUGCUCAAGCCCUGCUAGCAUGAGUCUGUCUACCCACUGUGAGAGACUGGGUCAGUGCAGAGACCCAGCUGCAGUGUAGACAUGCCCAGUGAGGUCUAGGAAGUUUCUCAGAUGAGAUAUGCAGGAUCCAGACAGCGUGCCUAGGGCAGAACAGAGAGAGAGCUUAUUUUCUGACUAAAGAACUGGACAGAGAAAUAUCUUAGCUGGGAUGUCUGCAAGUGGAAUUGCCUGUGUGCAGCUUGAAGGUUGUCACCUCUGCUCAAGGGAAACAGGACUUGGUACAUUUUGAAAACAAAAAUGGAUUUGAAGAAAGUUGCCAAAAGCUGCAUCAAUUGCUUCCCCCCCGCCCCCCCAGGAAUCAGACCCACUGCAAAACCUUAAGAAUCUGUUCCUGCUUGGCAAAGGUGCAACAAUAAUAAUGAGAAGAAGAUUACAAUAUUUGGGUCAGAGAGGGUAGGAAAACAUGCCAGCAUCUGAGAGAACAGUCAUCUUCAUUAAGAAUUUCCUUGGCCAAGGCAGUUCACUGGUUUUUAUUGGAGUUUUCUGUGUUGCUUAUUUAAAACUAAAUUAAAGAAGUGAAAAUGUGAGAAAGAGGUGACAGAUUUUCACUCUUCAUCUAAUGCAAUCUUUUGACAGGAACCCAAACACAUUUGAGUUUAUUUUUAAAUAUCCUCUGUGGGCUACAAUUAGAGACUGCAUGUCAGAAUGAAUCCUGUAAUAGUAAAAUUUCAUUAAAUGCAGCAGCAUUUCUGUUAUUUCACCUUUUCUCUGACUUCUGCCUCAGUCUGUUCUCCAGGAUGGAAUGACUUUUGCUUGAAGUAUUGAAAGGAAGAACAGAACGUACAGAGAGACGUGCAGGUAGCAUUAGCAUCACUAUAAAAUUAUGUAAAAUAAAGACACAAACAACUAGCUCACAGAGAUUCAGUGAGCUUUAUUUGUCCAUAAACAUAAUGGGAAUUGGAAAUUUCACAGUCGGAAACAGACAAGGUCCAAAUAUAUGAACACUACUGAAUCACUGGUUACUCUGGGAAGCAAGAUGAAAAAUGUCAGAGGUCUGCAUUUUUCUCUAGCCCAUAGAGAUGGAGAUUCAAGGGGGCUUUCAGAUAGAAGGGCUCUUCCUACAAGGAUGCAGAAUGGUCUCACUGAAAACAUGAGAUGUUUCUUUUAUGAAGUUAGCAUUGUGUGCUCUUGUUCAUGAGAUUAUUUCUUGUCUUUUUACUACAGCAGUCCCAGCUCAUUAGGAACUUCACAAAUAUUUGUAUUGAUUAAUGAAUACUAUUGUUAUCGUUUACUCUAAGCCAUCUUGAAGUCCAGAACAUAUAAGCCGCUUCCUGGACAUUAGCAAAACAAUAGACGAGCACAGGGUCUGUAUGAACUAGAGGACAAAAUUAAAAGCAAAUUGUCAUAGGUCAAAUAGACCCCCAUGCUACUCUAGCCACUAAGGGGUUAACAGGCAGACUAGCUGUCUCCUCAGCUGAGACUAAUUGCUGUGGUGAUCAAAAGGCUGCAGACUAGAGGACAGCUGGGCUGUCAGAAGCUGAGGAGCUAUGGAGGAGAGACUUUUUCAGUCACAGACUGCCAAUGUGUGAAGAUCCAUCUGUGUAUACGUUGGAGAAUGCUCCUGUCGUGCCUUCUCUCUGCGAUCUUCAGGGUCAUGCUGUGAUGUGUCCAAAGAGCCCACAGAGCAGCUCUUGAGGCAUUUGUGAGGACAGUCAUGUGGAGCAGCAGACUCUCCUAAGGCUGAAUUUAGGCAAAGCAAAAGCUAUUUUGUACUUCUGAAUCUGGGACAACCAGAAUACACGCAAUCGUAUCCAGACCUGAGCAAGAACACAGAAUCCAUUCCUGAUGCAUCCGCUUACCUUGAACAUACAGAUAUUGAGACAGUCUUUAGAGAGCUAACAGAGGAUAUUAAAGAAGUCAUUUUCAAAUGACAGUUUGUCCAUCUUCUCUCCCUACUACAUUAACCUACUUUUUAGCUAUUAACAUGCACAUUUGUAUAAAAGUCAUCUGCAUGUUUGCAUGAUAAAGUAUAUAAAUAUUGGAGCUGGUGGCAUACUGCCAUUUGAGGAGUCCAGCUGGUGUCCUAAGCUCCCUGGGUGAGUAAUGGCUAGGAGUGUUUUAUUCAUCCCCUUCUGGAUCUGGGUAACCCCUCUCCCCCAUGGUUAAUUCUCAGAAUGAUGUUAAUGGGCUCCAGAGAAGGAAAAAAAUAUAAAAUUCUUGCAUUUUUCCUAAUGGAGCAUCCAAAAACAUUCACAAAAUGUCUG